rnacentral:rRNA from 1 species
AUUGAACGCUGGCGGCAUGCCUUACACAUGCAAGUCGAACGGUAACGGGCCUUCGGGUGCCGACGAGUGGCGAACGGGUGAGUAAUACAUCGGAACGUGCCCGAUCGUGGGGGAUAACGAGGCGAAAGCUUUGCUAAUACCGCAUACGAUCUACGGAUGAAAGCAGGGGACCGCAAGGCCUUGCGCGGACGGAGCGGCCGAUGGCAGAUUAGGUAGUUGGUGGGAUAAAAGCUUACCAAGCCGACGAUCUGUAGCUGGUCUGAGAGGAUGAUCAGCCACACUGGGACUGAGACACGGCCCAGACUCCUACGGGAGGCAGCAGUGGGGAAUUUUGGACAAUGGGCGCAAGCCUGAUCCAGCCAUGCCGCGUGCAGGAUGAAGGCCUUCGGGUUGUAAACUGCUUUUGUACGGUACGAAAAGCCUUCUUUUAAUACAGGAGGGUCAUGACGGUACCGUAAGAAUAAGCACCGGCUAACUACGUG